AUUGAACGCUGGCGGCAUGCCUUACACAUGCAACUCGAACGGUAACGGGCCUUCGGGUGCCGACGAGUGGCGAACGGGUGAGUAAUACAUCGGAACGUGCCCGAUCGUGGGGGAUAACGAGGCGAAAGCUUUGCUAAUACCGCAUACGAUCUACGGAUGAAAGCAGGGGACCGCAAGGCCUUGCGCGGACGGAGCGGCCGAUGGCAGAUUAGGUAGUUGGUGGGAUAAAAGCUUACCAAGCCGACGAUCUGUAGCUGGUCUGAGAGGAUGAUCAGCCACACUGGGACUGAGACACGGCCCAGACUCCUACGGGAGGCGGCAGUGGGGAAUUUUGGACAAUGGGCGCAAGCCUGAUCCAGCCAUGCCGCGUGCAGGAUGAAGGCCUUCGGGUUGUAAACUGCUUUUGUACGGAACGAAAAGCCUUCUUUUAAUACAGGAGGGUCAUGACGGUACCGUAAGAAUAAGCACCGGCUAACUACGCG
rnacentral:rRNA from 1 species